UUGACCCAAGAGAAAAAGAAAUAGGAGAGGAUUUUUCAUACAAAAAUCAUGAUCUACGAAGAUCCAACCGUUCAAACUCAAAUCCGAUUUCAGAAACGUGAUCUACGAAGCCCGAUCUACGUUUCUACCGAUUGGUUUAAGGAUUUGUUGUGAGAAGCUUGCUAAACACUCUCCAAGUGUUGUAAUGCAUUGCAUGGUGGUGUCUAGGAGACCUAAUGUUUAAUAUCUGGGCAGCCAAGGAUUAUCAGUUCUAUUCAGAGUCUUCAAGUAAUAUGGGCAGUGUCUCAUUUCAUGCCAUGAGUAUGGUCACAAGUUUCUAAAAAGAUGUCCAUGAAGAUUUCAUGCAAUUUCCAAGUCAGAACAGCUGGUUCCUGUGCAACCGUUCAGACGGACCUUUGAAUGAGUCCGGACGCCCCGCAGUGUCUAGAAGCUUCAGCGUUGAAGAACGUCCAGACGUUAGGGCAACACCGUUCGAACGCUAGGUCAAGCUAUUCAGAAUCCGAGAAGAAAUUGGAUUUCAUGUUCAGAUACGAAUCGUGAAACAGCAACCAUCCGGACGGAAGGGCAACACCGUCCGGACGCUUUUCAGGUUUCCAGGAAGAUUUCCGCACACGUCUCAAUGUUUUUAUCAUAACUCUCUGCUCGAGUAUCAAAUUGAGACGAAAUUUGUGUUGUUGGAAAGUUAAGAAAAAAUCCUACAACUUGAAUUUUCAAAAUUUUCGGUGUUGCCUUACAACUUGGUGUCGUUGGAACUGCCACCAGAAAUUCGAGAAUUUUCGGAAUUCCUUUUCAGACACGGAAACAGUUGACCGUCCGGACACCCUUUGCUUGCCAGUCGGACGCCGCCCAGAGGACUCCAAUUUUUAAUAGAAUUAGGUUUUUUUAAGUCUAUAAAUAGAGGUCUCUGGCCAUGUGUUUUGUACAGAAUUGAGUAUUGAAUUCUCUUAGCCGUUGCUGGUGUGUACUCCUUGUUCGUUUGAAGUCUAUCUUAGGGGUCGGCCCUAAGGUAAAGGAUUCCAUCAAAUUAAGACCCCUUCAAAUAGGAGACUUGGUUGGGAAGCGUUCACGAUGGCUCUUUGGAUAGUGAAUUUCCUGGGUUUGGCUGCCCCGGAGUGGUUUCUCUCUUCACAAAGUUUCCACUUCGUCAACAAAUAUCUUGUCCUUUUAUUUUCCACAUUUAAAAAUAUUUUUGUUGCACACAAACAUACACUUGGUUGUUAAAAGUCAAUUUAUUUUCAUAAAGGAAUGACAAUUCACAUGGUUCGUUCAAUGCAUUGU